rnacentral:rRNA from 1 species
GGACUGACGCCUGCCCGGUGCUGGAAGGUUAAGAGGAAGGGUUAGCGCAAGCGAAGCUCUGAAUUUAAGCCCCAGUAAACGGCGGUGGUAACUAUAACCAUCCUAAGGUAGCGAAAUUCCUUGUCGGGUAAGUUCCGACCUGCACGAAUGGCGUAACGAUUGCCCCACUGUCUCCAACAUCGACUCAGCGAAAUUGAAUUGCCUGUCAAGAUGCAGGCUUCCCGCGGUUAGACGGAAAGACCCCGUGCACCUUUACUAUAGCUCCG